rnacentral:rRNA from 1 species
GAUGAACGCUAGCGGCAGGCUUAACACAUGCAAGUCGAGGGGCAGCAUAAUGGAUAGCAAUAUCUAUGGUGGCGACCGGCGCACGGGUGCGUAACGCGUAUGCAACCUACCUUUAACAGGGGGAUAACACUGAGAAAUUGGUACUAAUACCCCAUAAUAUCAUAGAAGGCAUCUUUUAUGGUUGAAAAUUCCGAUGGUUAGAGAUGGGCAUGCGUUGUAUUAGCUAGUUGGUGGGGUAACGGCUCACCAAGGCGACGAUACAUAGGGGGACUGAGAGGUUAACCCCCCACACUGGUACUGAGACACGGACCAGACUCCUACGGGAGGCAGCAGUGAGGAAUAUUGGUCAAUGGACGCAAGUCUGAACCAGCCAUGCCACGUGCAGGAUGACGGCUCUAUGAGUUGUAAACUGCUUUUGUACGAGGGUAAACGCAGAUACGUGUAUCUGUCUGAAAGUAUCGUACGAAUAAGGAUCGGCUAACUCCGUG